UACAGAGGUCCCAAGCGUUGUUCGGAUUCACUGGGCGUAAAGGGUGCGUAGGUGGUGAGGUAAGUCGGAUGUGAAAGCUCGGAGCUCAACUCCGAAAUGGCAUUGGAAACUACCUUGCUCGAGGGUUGGAGGGGGACUGGAAUACUUGGUGUAGCAGUGAAAUGCGUAGAUAUCAAGUGGAACAGCCAGUGGCGAAGGCGAGUCCCUGGACAAACUCCUGACACUGAGGCACGAAAGCUAGGGGAGCAAACAGG
rnacentral:rRNA from 1 species